CUUCAGGAGCCCCCAGUGCAAAGCCCAGGGGCUGGCAGGGGCCCACGGCGCAGGGCAGACAGCCUGGCCAAGGAACAGGCCAGCGUGUACACCAAGCUGUGUGGUGUACACACCCCGCACCCGGUGGAGGCCAUGAUGGGGCACUUCCCGCAGCUCCUGGACCCGCAGCAGCUGGCUGCCGAGAUCUUCUCAUACAAGUCCCAGCACCCCAGUGAGUAA
rnacentral:lncRNA from 1 species